rnacentral:rRNA from 1 species
AGCGAACGCUGGCGGCAGGCCUAACACAUGCAAGUCGAACGAAGUCUUCGGACUUAGUGGCGGACGGGUGAGUAACACGUGGGAACGUGCCUUUAGGUUCGGAAUAACUCAGGGAAACUUGUGCUAAUACCGAAUGUGCCCUUCGGGGGAAAGAUUUAUCGCCUUUAGAGCGGCCCGCGUCUGAUUAGCUAGUUGGUGAGGUAAAGGCUCACCAAGGCGACGAUCAGUAGCUGGUCUGAGAGGAUGAUCAGCCACAUUGGGACUGAGACACGGCCCAAGCUCCUACGGGAGGCAGCAGUGGGGAAUCUUGCGCAAUGGGCGAAAGCCUGACGCAGCCAUGCCGCGUGAAUGAUGAAGGUCUUAGGAUUGUAAAAUUCCUUCACCGGGGACGAUAAUGACGGUACCCGGAGAAGAAGCCCCGGCUAACUUCGUGCCAGCCGCCGCUGUAAAAC